UACGUAGGGUGCAAGCGUUGUCCGGAAUUAUUGGGCGUAAAGAGCUCGUAGGCGGCUUGUUGCGUCGACUGUGAAAACCUGCAGCUCAACUGCAGGCUUGCGGUCGAUACGGGCAGGCUCGAGUUCGGUAGGGGAGACUGGAAGUUCCUGGUGUAGCGGUGAAAUGCGCAGAUAUCAGGAAGAACACCAAUGGCGAAAGCAGCUCUCUGGGACGGUACUGACGCUGAGACGCGAAAGCGUGGGGAGCGAACAGG
rnacentral:rRNA from 1 species